GUGUGUAUUGAUACCACCCUGAACACACCUGGUCUCAGAAGCUAAGCACAGUCGGGCCUGGUUAGUACUUGGAUGAGAGACAAACUAUAUUCUUGAAAGUCACCAGAUUGCCAUAUUGGAUAUAUACC
rnacentral:rRNA from 1 species